rnacentral:lncRNA from 1 species
GCCCUGGGGCUGCAGAUCGGCUUGCGGGACGGGGUCCCAGAGAGGCCGGUCCACGCGGCCCGCACGCGCGAGUGUUAGCUCUGCACACGACGGAAGGCGGAGGCGCGGGUGGCUGCCGUUUCACCUUAGAGGGAGGGAGGGAAACGUGUCCUGAUUUCUGCACCUAAGGUGCUGGAAACCUUACCCUUGCACUUCCACCGUUUCUUUCCUUGUCCUGAAAAGGUCUCUUUUACCCGCUUCACUUCGCUAUCUACACAGUUUGCACUUGCACUGACUCAGAUCUUGUCCUGUCUGGGUGAACUCGGCACCCACCUAGAACCUCCAGUGUGUGAAAGGGCCUACCUACCUCAUUGGGCCCCAACCUCCAGCCUCUUGUGAGAGUGACGACCAGCCCCAAAAUGGCUGCACACAAACAAGACCCUAAGGCAGUAUUUCAGCCCCUUUGAUUCACACACCACCUUUGCAUCGUUGGAAACACCUUUGACCAGCAAUGGAAAAUAAAGGGAACAU